ACGCUGGCGGCGUGCCUAACACAUGCAAGUCGAACGGGGUUGAGCCCUUCGGGACUCAACUUAGUGGCGAACGGGUGAGUAACGCGUGAGAAACCUGCCUUUCAGUGGGGGACAACAGUUGGAAACGACUGCUAAUACCGCAUAAUGUUAUUUGGGGGCAUCCCCGAAUAACCAAAGAUUUAUUGCUGAAAGAUGGUCUCGCGUCUGAUUAGCUAGUUGGUGAGGUAACGGCUCACCAAGGCGACGAUCAGUAGCCGGUCUGAGAGGAUGAACGGCCACAUUGGGACUGAGAUACGGCCCAGACUCCUACGGGAGGCAGCAGUGGGGAAUAUUGGGCAAUGGGGGAAACCCUGACCCAGCAACGCCGCGUGAAGGAAGAAGGCCUUCGGGUUGUAAACUUCUUUUACCAGGGACGAAGAACGUGACGGUACCUGGAGAAAAAGCAACGGCUAACUACGUG
rnacentral:rRNA from 1 species